CGAAACAUGGUGUCAGAAGUGGGGUGCAAGGCUACCAGCUCAAGCGAAUGGUACCUGGGAUAGGCGAACGUGAGAAGCAACGACAUGGAGCACCUGAGGCAACCUGAACCGCUACGCUUGACAGCGGAUGGCGGAAGGAACUGGAAGCGGUUUCGUCAGCAGUUCGAGUUUUUUCUACAAGCGACGGUAUGCAAAGCCAAUCCAAGGUCCGAAGCGGCGAAGACGGCCCUGCUCCUCAGCGUGGCGGGGGAGGAAGCCUUGGACGUUUUCAACAAUUUUGUGUUUAGCGGAGAAGAGAACAAGGAAGACUACAAUACCGUGAUUGCCAAGUUCGAAGAAUACUGCACGGAGCAACAGAAUGAAAUCCACGAGCGAUACGUUUUCCGCUCUCGUAGUCAAGGUGAGGCGGAGCCUUUUGAGCAGUUUCUACGCGAGUUGAAAAAACAAGCGCAGUACUGCAACUUUGGGACUAUGGCAGACGAUAUGGUACGAGACCAAAUUGUCUUUGGAACAAACUCGCCAAGGCUUCGAGAAAAGAUGCUCAGGGACAAAAACCUGACCUUGGAAAAGGUUGUCAUCCUAUGCAAGGCGGCUGAAACAUCAACACGCCAAAACGAAUUCUGGCAGAAAACAAAGGAAGAACUCGAUAUGAACGCUGUCACUGCCAGCAAGAGCACUCCUACAGGGUCCAGGCACGACCUAAAAUGCAGCCGCUGCAACCGAAGGAAUGCCGUUAGACGCUGUCCAGCUUACGGCAAAGUCUGUUACUCGUGUAAUGGGCGAAAUCACUUCGCAUGUUGUUGCAGUGAGAAAGAGCGCGUAUACGAAGUACAGCAUCAAAACGACGACUUCGAAGUACUGAAUGUCGCCAGCAGCAGCGCAAGCAGAGAACGAGACUGGCAUGUGAACGCAUGCAUUGACGGCAAGUACGUCUCCUUUAAGGUGGACACAGGAUCGCAGGCAAACGUAUUGCCACUUUCAGUAUUUCGCAAGUUCAAGAUGACCAGUCUGAUGCCCAGUUGCGCCGUUCUGAGAUCCUAUGGGGGCAACAUGAUCAAGCAUGUUGGGAAGUUUUCAGCGCCAAUCAAGAUUGGCGACCGCGAGGCGUGCGCAAGUUUUUUUUGUGGUAAAGAAGGACCACAGCGCUAUCUUAGGCUUAGAAACCAGCGAGAAGCUAGGAAUCGUACAGCGCGCUGUUGACUGCGUGACGACGAGCAACACCGAAACAAUUGUGAAGGAGUUCCCACGUCUUUUCCAUGGAACAGGGCGCGCUCCGCGUGAAUACAAGAUUGCACUGCACAAGGAUGCCGUGCCAGUCGUCCAGCCAGCUAGAAGAGUGCCCCUGUCCCUGCGAGAGCCUCUCCGUACUGAACUAGGCAGAAUGGAAAAGGAAGGCAUCAUCCAGAAGGUCAGCAGCCCCACAGAUUGGGACUCAAGGCAGCUCCAGACACGAGUGACGUCGAGAUCCAUGCCGUCACGGUCGUUUCAGCACUCGUAAGUGAAACGACAGCUAGAAAACUUGCACAGGAAACGGCUCUCGAUCCACAUCUUGGCACUGUGUUAAGAAAGCUUGCGAAAGGACAGCCUGUCGACGGCCCCCUGAAACCAGUGGCCGCAGAGCUGUCAGUAGUAAAUGGCAUAUUAUUGAAAGGGACGAAAGUAGUCAUACCGACAAGCAUGCGCGGCGACAUAUUGAAACGGAUCCACGAAGGCCACCUGGGCCAGGUUAAGUGCAAAGCUAGAGCAAGGCAAAUGGUAUAUUGGCCGAACAUAAACUCUGACAUUCAGUCCCUGAUUGAAAGAUGUUCAACAUGCAAGACAUUUGCUUAUAAGCAGCCAUCGGAGCCUUUAAUCAUGCAACCUACGCCUACGCAGCCAUGGUACCGUAUCGGCGUCGAUCUUUUUCACUACUCGGGAAGGGAUUAUUUGUGUGCAUACGACUCGAUGUCCAAUUUCCCUGAGGUAGCGCUACUGUCCGAGACAACAGCCAGUGCCGUUAUCGAUAGACUGAGUGAAAUAUUUUCAAGGUACGGCAUCCCAGUCCAGGUUUGUAUAGACAACGGCCCACAGUUUAGCAGCCAAGAGUUUAUUAUUUUUGCAAAGCGUUACGACUUCAAACAUGUGACAUCAAGCCCGCAGUAUCCUCAACCAAACGGGCUCGCUGAGAAGGGUGUACAGGUGGUGAAACGUAUUCUAAAGAAAACAAAAGCUGCAGGAGAGUGUUUUUGGCUGGGCUUGUUAAAUUACAGGGCGAGUCCUGUUGAAGAUGGCCGGUCUCCUGGGGAACUGCUGCAAGGAAGGCGGCUGCGCACACCAUUGCCGGACUUCAAUCCAAUGUCGGCGACUGUCGUCAAGAAACACCAGCAGAGAAGUUAUCAUAGGCGCACCUUACCAGACCUCAGCAACAAUGACGCGGUACGCUUGAGUGGAACAUGGUGGGCCAGGAAAGCCAAGGUGGUCGGAUCGGCCGGCCCACGAUCCUUCUAUGUGCGCACAGAGAACAAUACUGUGCUGAGACGCAACCGUCGGCAUCUUCUGGCGACGAAGGAAUCGUAUGAGGUUGGCUCAUCAGACGACGAAGAUAUGACCGACAACCAGACCCCAUUUCAAGGUGUGGCGUCAACUACUACUGCAGCCUCACCCGUGGUAGCUCAACAGCCGUCGCCUCGGCCAUUGCGACGCAGUCAACGACAGACGCGGCAGCCAGAGCGUCUGGGUUAUGACCAGCGGUUCCAGCAGACGAGCCAGCGGCAUUAAUUUCGUCAUGUAAUUACUGUUUGGAAAGAGGAUGUAUCAUAUCUGAUGAGAGCGCAUGUGCUAUCUACAUGCACGAUUGCCACGUGCAUAUACCCGCCCCUCACUUUACUAACCCUUUCCACCUUCGUCUAUAAAUAACGAUGCAGAAUAAAGGCGUUGGUGAUUUCGCUUCUUGACAA